AUACUCAGGAGAGGUUCUUUUUCAUCUGCAUUCCGGCUUUCACAGCGGAUGUGCGAAAAAGAGCGCCGAAGGUGUAAGCGCAGAGAAGUCGGGCGCGCGUUUUCAUAAAUGCGGCGGGCGUCUGCGUGAGUCUCUCAGGCAAAAGGAUGGAGGUAUAA
rnacentral:ncRNA from 1 species